rnacentral:misc_RNA from 1 species
CGAUUUAUAGGCCGCCCUACCGAAGAGUGGUGAUGUGCGGAGAGUACACGCACACACUUCCCUGUAGACUGAACGCCCGCGUAGGCGCGCACACACACAGAUAAGCUCACAGACACAGGUGUCCCCCACACAUACACACGCACACACACACACACACACACACCUAUCACUAAGUAAUACAUGGGGCUUUUAGGGCUUCGCAAGUUCAUUGACUCGUGUGGGUGCACGCGGUUGCUCCCGGUGCCUCUGAGCGAUGCGGAGGCCGCGGAGGAGGUGAAGCGGCGCUUGCGAGUGGAGGGUUGCUACGAGAUCACCGGCGAGGACGCUGAUGCGGACUCGGGCGCGCUGUACGCCAACAGCGGCGAGAAGAAUGAGACAGAUGACGUUGACAGAAGAGGGGCGCGCCGGCGCCCUUUAACGUCCUCUUCGCACAUGAGCCGUCCGGAGAGCGCAGGGGCUGUCGCGACUGGCAGCUACACGCCGAUGGUCGAUCACGUGAUGGUUGACAUGAACUGUGUUGUGCACUCCUGCUUCCGUCAUCAAUGUAGCGAGAACAAGCCAAAGAGGCAGCUCAUCCAGGAGGUGCUGGAGCGGCUGCGUGUGCUCGUGACGGAGGUGGUGGUGCCGCGCCAGUCGCUCAGCAUCUGCUUCGACGGCCCGGCCCCCAUUGCUAAACUGCAGACGCAGCGGCUUCGACGGCGCAAGGUUUCCCUUCUCGACACCGGCAGUGUACAGCAGCUCAACACGCUCUCGAUCACUGCCGGGUCGCUCUUCAUGAUUGAGCUCGAGAACGCCAUCGCGUCCCAGUUUAAGCUGAACCGCGGCCGCGGCUUUCUUCGCCGUGCGUGCCCGGUGUACCUCUACGGCACUACCGUCAUGGGCGAGGGCGAGGCGAAGAUAUCGCGCGCGCUGGCCUUUCUCGCAUACGGCUCAGGUGGCACGGCAGACAGCACCACGCCGCCGCCGCAGGACGAGAAGGCACUGCUAUCUCGCAGGGAGCUCGGCAACGCUGGCCGCCGGCGCAGCAGCGUUGGUGGUGGUGGUGGUGGCCGCCAUCGGCGCAACGGCAGCGGUGGCAGCCGCGGCGAGCGCGAUGGCCGUGAUGAUGCCGCGACCGCGCCGUAUCUGCGGUGCCGUUCAGACGACACGGUCGUGGUGAUGGGCGACGACAUCGACCUUGUCCUGACAUGCCUCGGCGCCACAGCCUUCCACAACUUCAGCAUCAUCAGUCCGUCCUCUCUGCAGCUUAUUCGUGUGUCGGACAUCUUGUACCGCUGGCUGAAGGCGACCUCCGCUACCCGCGGCGACACGCCCUUCUCACCAUCGCAGCUACCGUCCAUCCGCAUCGACUUCAUUUUCCUUUUCCUGCUCAACGGCGGCGAUCACUACACCGGCGCUGGCGAGGUGGCCAUGGCCUUGUGGCGGCGCUACCGCUGUGUGCGCGCCACAUAUCCACACAGCACGCUCGUCUCGCCUAACCUCGACGCCAUCGACAUCGACUUCCUUGCAGACGUCGUGCAGUCGUCCGAGUACACGGGCUCGUCAAGCAUCGAGGUGGGCAUGGACCUUCUUCAGUCGGCUCUUUGGUCGCUCCACACGGUCGUCACGGGUGUGUGCCCAGACUACCACUACGUGCCAGCGCCAGCGGCGCCGCAGCUGUGCCACCUACGCGCUGCUGCGGCACACUGCCAGCGAACUAACGCACGCAUUUGCCUCCCGAAUGCCAAGACGGGCUCGCAGCCUCUGACGCCGCUGGAGACGUACGUGGCUCUCAUGCCGACGGAGGCGACUCUGCCGAAGAGCAUCGCUGCGGGGUUGCACAGCAAGGCGGCGUAUCAGUCUAUCCUGAAGACACUGGAGACAAGCAGUGACACGGCUUCGAUCGCGCGCGCUGCGAAAGACGCAGUCGAGGUGUCGGCGCCGUGGCUCACGAAGAGCGAGCAGUACCUCCGCCACUUCACAUCGCCAGUUCAGCUGAACGUCAAUCCGCCGCGGCGACGGCUGAGCCGUCACGAGCAGCAUCGCAUGCUGGCGACGCACGGCUACAUCCAGGUCGAGGACCCUGUCCCAGAGGUGAGGCCAAUCAGAAUGCCGGAGAAUGUGCCCUACUUGAACGUCCCCUACCUCCCCUACACAAAGUACCUCGACUUUUACUGCCCGUUCGACGUGGCGACCGCGCAGCCGCAGAAACCCGAUGAAGGCGACCAUGCCACCUUGGCGCGCCAAGCGAGCGGCGGCCCCCCUGCGAAUGGCGGCUGUCUCACGCACCUGCACGGACGAGCCGUAUCCACCCGCCCCUUUCUCUUCUCCGCAGCCGUCACUCCCCAGGACAGAAUGCAUGCUAACUGUAGCGGCGACGGCACCGUAGGAGAUGGCUCAGAUGGGGCUGCUGGCGCCGAAGGCCGGUCGGCAGAGCACAAGCGAGUGUACCUCAACCAGGAGGAGGCUGCCGAGGAAUUGCGGCAACGCGAGCGCAAGUCCGCUGCAGCGAAGCUGCAGCGUGCUCUUAACAUCACCUCUGGCAUAUUGGAGCGAGGCCAGCACUUCACAACACCACAGCAGCGGCGCAUGCAGCGUCGGCUGCACCGGCUGCAGCAGGCUGAAUCAGCGGAGCUGCGUGCCAUACUGGCGAGGGAGGACCGCAAAUACGUGUCGCGUACGGGGAAGACAGACACGCGUGACCUCGAAAGUGAAUUAAGGCAUUUCAUGGGUGAUGAUGCGUCGCCAGAUGAGGUCGCAGCGCUGAUGAGCGACGCGGCGGAUGAGCAUGCUGACGUUGCGGUUGAUGUGCGCGGGGCUGGUGUGGUGGCAAGCAGCGGCAAGGUGAGCACAACAAAAAAAAAUCUGAAGACCAAUAAAGACGUCGCUUCCGCGGCGGAGGCGCUUAGUUCACGAGAUUUUACGGUGAACCAGCGGAAGGAAUUAAAGACAGGCGCCCACCAUGACAGCAGCCACACCAACGCGGGGCGCUACGAGGACGAUAUGACGGCCUCUACAGUCCCUGCUAAGCAGCGUAAGAGGCGUGCCACGGUGCCCGCCGAUGCCGACAGUCACGCGGAUGUGGGCAAGGCAUCGACUGGUUUGAAGCAGCGCCGGCGCGAGCGUAUCGAGAGUUUUGGGGAGGACAGCGCCCGCCAACGCACGCCGUCAGGGACUAAGAAGCGGAGGAGGGUGCAGUACUGAAAGCGCAGCCACACGCGCUCAGUUCGUGUCGUGCGUGUGCCGCUGCGGUGUAGAGCGGUGCAUUAUGGAGGCAUACCGUUUGAACAAGAGGGACUCCACCACCAGCACCGCCACAGCGGCAGCAACCACACCACGUCUGCGGUCUCCUUGUGUUGCACGUGUGCCUGGAUAUCAUAAAGUGUGCACGCGAAAGUCGCGCGAUGGGCGCAGUGGGUGAGGGUUUGGGUGGAACAGCGACGGUAGCGACACACGCAGAUACGGAUGCUAACGGAUUCCUGGGCGCGUUGCUGGGUGAGGAUCACACACACACACACACACACACACAACGACAGGAUGAGCCGAGAGAGGAGGGUUGAGAGCAUGGAGACGGUAGGACCAACAUAAAACGCCCUUACUCUCGCCGCUCCGCUCCGUAUCAACUCGUCCACGACACCCACGCUCUCUCGGAUGGUUCAUCUGUGCCUCUAUGGGGGCCCGUCGCUCUGCGUUCCCUGUGCGCCUCUCUCUGUGUGUGGGUGCGCCGGUGCAGAUGAUGCCCCCCCCCCCCCAAUCCCCCGUAACUGUCGUGCUGGCAAGUCUUCGACGAUGACCGAGUGUAAUGCAAAAACCAAACAGAGGGGGCACUACGGAGCUGUCCAAACACCCAAACACAUGCGCCACUCGUGCAUAGGAAGCCGGGCGUUUUGCCGGCUGCGGAUGGACGGAGGAGGGAACCGGGGAGAACGACAGACGUCCAUCCGCCGGUCGCAACGCCUCUCGCCCCCUUCCCUUCUCCGUCUUUGCGCUUUUUGUGAAGCGAGCGAGCGAUUUGCGGGGGCGUGAGGGGCGGAAAGGAAAGGAGAGAGGCGGGGGGUGGUGCGGCUUACGAGUCCUAGAUGCCUCUUCGUGUGAGCUCGUUGCGGAGUGGGGCACAUCGUGGUAUCCCGCCGCUGUAACCGUCGUGUGCGCUUGCGAAGAAGUAGCACCUCCCAACUGUGCGUCUCUCUUUCAGAGAGACGCACGUCUGAACGCUUCGCGGACGAUAUUCGCCGUGCGCCUCUGGGGUAGGCGAUUUUGUGUGAUAUGCACACUUGAGCAUGGCGUUGCCUUCUUCCGG